rnacentral:lncRNA from 1 species
AAUUUUGACAUUGGAUUUAAGUGAGAAUAUUUUUUGGUGGAACAAGUUUGAAAGUGUUUAAGUUGCAGCAAAUAGUCACGAAUGAUCUUUAUAUGCAAAAUGGCUCACUUUGACAAGGUUCUAAUUGAUGCAUUUCUAAAAUUUAUCAAACUAUCCUGCAACUUCAAAUUUUUGUCAAGAAUUGUAACCUUUCUGCCUGGUAAAAGCAGGCUAGCUUAAUCACGCUAUAAUAACUAUAAGACCUCAUGGAUAAUCAGAGAUUACAUUUUCAAGUCAGACCUCAUGGAUGAAAUACGUACUAAUGUGUUGAGAAAGCCGAUGAGAAGGCUUGCUUUGAAUGUAGGCUGCAUCAUAUAUGCACCAUCAACACAGUGGUACUAGAUUAUCAUUCGACAUGGUUAGAAACUUCAUACUGUAGAAACCAAAUCAUAAGGUCUACCUUGAGGAAGCAAGUCAGAUGUCGAAGCCAGAUGUUACCAUAGAUAAUUCACUCACAAUCACAACUGGAUAAGGUGCCAUCUACUGGUAAAAAAAACUUCUGUACAGGAAAUGGUGCUAUUAGAAGCAUCUAAUAAUAAACAGUUUAAACUGAAAACACAUUCAACAGUUGCACUAUUUAUAAGCAAUGACACAGUAUGUAACCUUAGGCCCUUAUAGUAGAAUAUGUACCUGAAAUGGUUGACUUAGUUUUUCACUUGAGUUGUCAGAUAUCCGAUGCAUGAAUAUACUCACCUAGCUCCUUCACAUCUUUGUAUCCCUCUUUACUGAUGACUCUUAACCUCAUUCCAUUUUAAACAGCCGAGACCAGAUACUGUCAGUACUCCCUCAAACAUACUAGUGGAAGUAAGACUUCAACACAGCCUACUCAUUUCCUUUCAUGUUUUUGGACACCAUUUUCAACGAUGCUGAAAUGUUCCUUUGCCUCUAACCUCUUACUUGCCUUAAAUGUAUAAGAACAUUAUAUAAUGAAAGGGGCAAUUGUUUCACUUUCAAAAUUCCCACCAACAGAAUAUUUGAGUUAAAAAGAAAAAGGGAAACACAAAGAAGGAACAGACAAAACCCCAAUAAUUCUCAGAUUUCAAGACAAAUUUAGAGUAACAGCUUCCUGCUAGUUGAAAAUCUGAAAAGGGGUCAAAAAAUAUAGCAACCAUGGAGGCAGGCAUACAUGUCCAAAAAACAAGAACAGAGAUCGAAGAACAAGGAUUUUCAAGCAGCAGCACACAGAAAGAUUUCAGCUUGGAAUUUUCAGAUCACCAGAAGAUCAAUCAGUUUUCAUUUGCAAACAAGUGUUUUUAUUUUUCCAGUACUAUAAGAGAUUUGGUUGGUUAGAUUACAUCUCCACUCAUAACAAGCAGAUCUACACUAACUAUUUAAUGUAUAUCUCCACCAGAAAUCCAAAUUAAGCAUUUAUGUCUACGAACAUUAGCGUCCUUCACCUCAUGUGAUUUGAUAAUUUCACAUCA